rnacentral:lncRNA from 1 species
CUAGGGGUUAUGCCACAUCUGGGCUGGUGAGUCUAGGUACUAUAGGAAAGCAGGCAGAGCAAGCCUGUAAGUAGCAUUCUUCCAUAGCCUCUAUACCAGGUUCCUGCCCUGUUUGAGUUCCUGUCCUGACUUCCCAUCGUGAUGAACUGUGAUGUGGAGGGUCCAUUUUUAGCAGGUGGCAGAGACGAUGCUCCUAUCAGCUUCUUGUUGUUCCUGACAGAGGAGUAUGAAGCAAUGAGAGGCCUCGGGCUCUCGGCUGCUGCAAGAUGGCAGGAGGAGGCUUGCUUGCAAUGACAGACGGGAGAUGGGGAAAGCUCUUCCUGUAUUUCCUAGGUGAA